rnacentral:piRNA from 1 species
UUACAACAACUUCGAAAAGUC